GAUGAACGCUGGCGGCGUGCUUAACACAUGCAAGUCGAACGGGAUCCAAGGGGUGCUUGCACUUUUUGGUGAGAGUGGCGAACGGGUGAGUAACACGUGAGUAACCUGUCCUUUUCUUUGGGAUAAGCAUUCGAAAGGGUGUUUAAUACCUUAUGUUCUGUCUGCCUCGCAUGGGGUGGGUGGGAAAGGCUUUGGCCGGAUUUGGGUGGGCUCGCGGUCUAUCCGCUUGUUGGUGGGGUGAUGGCUUACCAAGGCUUUGACGGGUAGCCGGCCUGAGAGGGUGGUCGGUCACAUUGGGACUGAGAUACGGCCCAGACUCCUGCGGGAGGCAGCAGUGGGGGAUAUUGCACAAUGGGCGAAAGCCUGAUGCAGCGACGCCGCGUGGGGGAUGAAGGCCUUCGGGUUGUAAACUUCUUUUGCUCUGAACAAGGCAUGCCAGUGGGUGUGUUGAGUGUAGGGGUUGAUUAGCGCCGGCUAACUACGUG
rnacentral:rRNA from 1 species